GACGAACGCUGGCGGCGUGCUUAACACAUGCAAGUCGAACGGUGAAGCGCCUUCCUUUUUGGUGGGUGUGGAUGAGUGGCGAACGGGUGAGUAACACGUGAGUAACCUGCCCCCUUCUUCUGGAUAACCGCAUGAAAGUGUGGCUAAUACGGGAUAUUCUGGGUCUGUCGCAUGAUGGGUCUGGGAAAGAUAUUGUUUCGGUGGGGGAUGGGCUCGCGGCCUAUCAGCUUGUUGGUGGGGUGAUGGCCUACCAAGGCGGUGACGGGUAGCCGGCCUGAGAGGGUGGGCGGUCACACUGGGACUGAGACACGGCCCAGACUCCUACGGGAGGCAGCAGUGGGGAAUAUUGCACAAUGGGCGCAAGCCUGAUGCAGCGACGCCGCGGGAGGGAUGGAGGCCUUCGGGUUGUGAACCUCUUUCGCCAGUGAAGCAGGCCUGCCUCGUUUGUGGGUGGGUUGACGGUAGCUGGAUAAGAAGCGCCGGCUAACUACGUG
rnacentral:rRNA from 1 species